rnacentral:rRNA from 1 species
AGCGAACGCUGGCGGCAGGCCUAACACAUGCAAGUCGAACGAAGUCUUCGGACUUAGUGGCGGACGGGUGAGUAACACGUGGGAACGUACCUUUUGGUUCGGAACAACUCAGGGAAACUUGAGCUAAUACCGGAUGAGCCCUUAGGGGGAAAGAUUUAUCGCCGAAAGAGCGGCCCGCGUUAGAUUAGCUAGUUGGUGAGGUAAAGGCUCACCAAGGCUACGAACUAUAGCUGGUCUGAGAGGAUGAUCAGCCACACUGGGACUGAGACACGGCCCAGACUCCUACGGGAGGCAGCAGUGGGGAAUCUUGCGCAAUGGGCGAAAGCCAGUCGCAGCCAUGCCGCGUGAAUGAUGAAGGUCUUAGGAUUGUAAAAUUCUUUUACCAGGGACGAUAAUGACGGUACCUGGAGAAAAAGCCCCGGCUAACUUCGUGCCAGCAGCCGCCGUAAAAC